ACGGAGGGUGCGAGCGUUAUCCGGAAUCACUGGGCUUAAAGGGUGCGCAGGCGGCUCGGCCAGUCGGUGGUGAAAACACGGGGCUCAACCCCGUGCGUGCCUCCGAUACUGCCGUGCUUGAACUGUGGCCGGGCGCGCGGAACGCGGCAUGUAGCGGUGAAAUGCUUAGAGAUGCCGUGGAACACCGAUAGCGAAGGCAGCGCGCUGGACAUUUGUUGACGCUGAGGCGCGAAAGCGUGGGUAGCGAACAG
rnacentral:rRNA from 1 species